rnacentral:rRNA from 1 species
CGUAGGGUGCAGGCGUUAAUCGGAAUUACUGGGCGUAAAGCGUGCGCAGGCGGUCUACUAAGACAGGUGUGAAAUCCCCGGGCUUAACCUGGGAACUGCGCUUGUAACUGGUAGGCUUGAGUGUGGCAGAGGGGGUGGAAUUCCACGUGUAGCAGUGAAAUGCGUAGAGAUGUGGAGGAACACCGAUGGCGAAGGCAGCCCCCUGGGCUAACACUGACGCUCAUGCACGAAAGCGUGGGGAGCAAACAGGAUUAGAUACCCUGGUAGUCCACGCCCUAAACUAUGUCAACUGGUUGUCGGGGAAGCAAUUCCUUGGUAACGAAGCUAACGCGUGAAGUUGACCGCCUGGGGAGUACGGCCGCAAGGUU